rnacentral:rRNA from 1 species
UACGUAGGGUGCAAGCGUUAUCCGGAAUUAUUGGGCGUAAAGAGCUCGUAGGCGGUUUGUCGCGUCUGCUGUGAAAACUGGAGGCUCAACCUCCAGCCUGCAGUGGGUACGGGCAGACUAGAGUGCGGUAGGGGAGAUUGGAAUUCCUGGUGUAGCGGUGGAAUGCGCAGAUAUCAGGAGGAACACCUGCGGCGAAGGCGGGUUGCUGGGCUGACACUGACGCUGAUGUGCGAAAGCUAGGGGAGCGAACGGG